GCACCCCGUGAGGGCACGGAGCCGCUUAAAGGGCCCCCGCGGCCUGCCCCGCUGUCGGAAACGACAGAACGCCUUCCUAAUUGCAGGAGGAGGACUAAAGCCAGCUCCUUUCAGCAGAAGGGAAACACAGGCACCCGUUCCUACGUUGGGGCACCAGACAGAGGGAGCAAGAUCUCUGGGCAUGAGGAUUUGGCAAGUUAACAAACAUUCACUACAAGAGAGAGAAAUGGCACAGAGGUACUUUUACAGAUGCUGCAAAAACAUUUGAAAAGACAUUACUUUUGUAGCAGAUGUUUCAGAAAACUCGGCAGUGAGAUCUUUCCAAACCUUUCCCUGUGCCUUGUUUUUAUCUGCCAGAUGAAGAGAGAGGAAUGACCCAUAUGGUAAAGGACAUUGUGAGAAACACAGAAAAAAAAAAGCUGAUUCAAUGCUCAAGUACUUUACAUAAAUUAUAUUAUU